GCCAGGUGUGGUGGCUCACGCCUGUAAUUCCAGCAUUUUGGGAGGCUGAGGCAGGAGGAUCGCUUGAGGCCAGGAGUUCAAGACGAGCCUGGCCAAUAUGGUGAAACCCUGUCUCUC
rnacentral:SRP_RNA from 2 species